UUUAACUGGCUUCGCCAUGGACGGCAAGACCAAGACUUCAGUCCUUUCUAUGCGUCUGAAUUAAAAUUAGCAUACCAAAGUAAUUCAGUUAUUAAAGUUUCAAUAAUUCAAGUGGGAUUCUCUUAUUCGAGAUUUUGUAGCUAGAUGUCUAAUAACUAUGAUAAUUGGGAAAGACUUGUGGAAGUUGUUCUUCGCAGGGAACAAGACAGGCAACUUGCUUUAAUUUCCUCGAGGGAACCAAGUAUCAGCUCAAUAUCUGGGUGGAGUACUCCGAUUAGUGAUGAUCGGAAUGUUACUAUAUCUGGGAGGAGCACUCCGAUUAGUGAUGAUCGGAAUGUUCAACUUGGAUCUUCUUCUUCAAGUACAGUAAAUGAAACCGAUUGGGAGGGAUUGUUGCCGCCUGAUUAUAAGGACAUCAUCUCCAGAUCUGUGAAUCCUGUGGUCUAUGCAACCAUGGAAG
rnacentral:lncRNA from 1 species